CUAUGCGCCUUGCCAGCCCGCUCAGGUGUGCCAGCAGCCGCGGUAAUACGGAGGAUGCGGGCGUUAUCCGGAUUUAUUGGGUUUAAAGGGUGCGUAGGUGGUUAAUUAAGUCAGCGGUGAAAGUUUGUGGCUCAACCAUAAAAUUGCCGUUGAAACUGGUUGACUUGAGUAUAUUUGAGGUAGGCGGAAUGCGUGGUGUAGCGGUGUAAUGCAUAGAUAUCACGCAGAACUCCGAUUGCGAAGGCAGCUUACUAAACUACAACUGACACUGAAGCACGAAAGCGUGGGGAUCAAACAGG
rnacentral:rRNA from 1 species